CAGUCGCCGCGGUAACACGUAGGUGGCAAGCGUUGUCCGGAAUUAUUGGGCGUAAAGCGCGCGCAGGUGGUUUAAUAAGUCUGAUGUGAAAGCCCACGGCUCAACCGUGGAGGGUCAUUGGAAACUGUUAAACUUGAGUGCAGGAGAGAAAAGUGGAAUUCCUAGUGUAGCGGUGAAAUGCGUAGAGAUUAGGAGGAACACCAGUGGCGAAGGCGGCUUUUUGGCCUGUAACUGACACUGAGGCGCGAAAGCGUGGGGAGCAAACAGGAUUAGAUACCCCAGUAGUCCCUGUCUCUUAUAC
rnacentral:rRNA from 1 species